CGUGUCUCGUGCCUUCUCCGAGAGUUUCGUGAGCGGCUGAGUUUGUGUCUCACGUCGUGUGUCAGCUUAAAGGGGCAAUAAACAGUGUAACUAUAGAGUCAAAACAAGCGACGACCGUGAAUCCGCCGAAGACCUUGUCGAAACCUAGUGGAGCCGAUGGAGAAGUGGACCUCGUGAUUUUCAACCGAGGACAUCUCCUGACAUGCCUUAUCGGCGGGAAGGAAAUUCAGAUUGCUCCGGUCUUUGCGUCGUAUGACCCACCCGCUGUCAAAGUAAAAAACUUUGACACCAACAGCAUGGAAUUUAGGACAGGCCUCAGCGACAGCAAGCUGGUGACUUAAAAUAAACGUUGACCCGGUGAGCCUGGAGGACAGGAUCCGCUUCCUUCCAUUUUGUUUCGUUUUUUUUUUUUCUUUCUUCAUGUGUGGUUGAG